UACGGAGGGUGCAAACGUUGCUCGGAAUCAUUGGGCGUAAAGCGCACGUAGGCGGUUCAGUAUGUCGGGUGUGAAAGCCCUCGGCUUAACCGAGGAAGUGCAUUCGAAACUGCUGGACUUGAAUACUGGAGAGGAUCGCGGAAUUCCCGGUGUAGAGGUGAAAUUCGUAGAUAUCGGGAGGAACACCGGUGGCGAAGGCGGUUCUCUGGGCCUUACCUGACGCUGAGGAGCGAAAGCGUGGGGAGCGAACAGG
rnacentral:rRNA from 1 species